rnacentral:tRNA from 1 species
GGGCCCGUAGUCUAGCCUGGUUAGGACGCCGCCCUUACACGGCGGAGGUCCGGGGUUCAAGUCCCCGCGGGCCCACCA